AUCUGCUUCCAGACCAUGGUUGAUGGUAGUUGACUACAAGAAUUGAAACCCCAGAAAACAAGACUGCAGAUAAGGGGCUGAUUAUAAUAUAAUGGUCCACCAUCCCAACCUGUGGGGAACUAUGCUGUUUUUAGCACUGAAAUUCCCACAUCCUGGGAAAUCUCUCAGUCCAGUUCAUCUGUGAAUGUCUCUUGGGAUUCCCUUUGGAAUGGUGACCUUUGGUGAUCAUGGACAACCAUACUAUUCUCAGCAAGAUACUAUCCUACUGCCUGAAGAAGUCAGUGAGGGAGUGCCUUCGGGGAGAAAAUUUAUCUGCUUUUCUUCCACCAUCAACUUCAUAAAGUUCACCUUAGC
rnacentral:lncRNA from 1 species